rnacentral:rRNA from 1 species
GAUGAACGCUGGCGGUCUGCUUAACACAUGCAAGUCGAACGGAGGUAGCAAUACUUUAGUGGCGGACGGGUGAGUAACACGUAAGAAUCUGCCUCCAGGACGGGAAAAACAGUUGGAAACGACUGCUAAUUCCGGAUGAGCCGAAAGGUAAAAAGAAAUUCGCCUGGAGAUGAGCUUGCGGCUGAUUAGCUAGUUGGUAGGGUAAGAGCCUACCAAGGCGACGAUCAGUAGCUGGUCUGAGAGGAUGAGCAGCCACACUGGGACUGAGACACGGCCCAGACUCCUACGGGAGGCAGCAGUGGGGAAUUUUCCGCAAUGGGCGAAAGCCUGACGGAGCAAGACCGCGUGGGGGAGGAAGGUUCUUGGAUUGUCAACCCCUUUUCUCAGGGAAGAAGAUCUGACGGUACCUGAGGAAUCAGCAUCGGCUAACUCCGUGCCAGCAGCCGCCGUAAGAC